rnacentral:rRNA from 1 species
GGCUCAGGAUGAACGCUAGCUACAGGCUUAACACAUGCUAGUCGAGGGGAAACGAUAUUGGAAGCUUGCUUCCGAUAGGCGUCGACCGGCGCACGGGUGAGUAACGCGUAUCCAACCUGCCCAUCACUUGGGAAUAACCUUGCGAAAGUAAGACUAAUGCCCAAUGACAUUUAUAGAAGGCAUCGGAAAUGAAUUAAAGAUUUAUCGGUGAUGGAUGGGGAUGCGUCUGAUUAGCUUGUUGGCGGGGUAACGGCCCACCAAGGCGACGAUCAGUAGGGGUUCUGAGAGGAAGGUCCCCCACAUUGGAACUGAGACACGGUCCAAACUCCUACGGGAGGCAGCAGUGAGGAAUAUUGGUCAAUGGGCGAGAGCCUGAACCAGCCAAGUAGCGUGCAGGAUGACGGCCCUAUGGGUUGUAAACUGCUUUUAUAGGGGAAUAAAGUGAGCCACGUGUGGUUUUUUGCAUGUACCCUAUGAAUAAGGACCGGCUAAUUCCGUGCCAGCAGCCGCGGUAAUACGGAAGGUCCGGGCGUUAUCCGGAUUUAUUGGGUUUAAAGGGAGCGUAGGCCGGAGAUUAAGCGUGUUGUGAAAUGUAGAUGCUCAACAUCUGAACUGCAGCGCGAACUGGUUUCCUUGAGUACGCAUAAAGUGGGCGGAAUUCGUGGUGUAGCGGUGAAAUGCCUAGAUAUCACGAAGAACUCCGAUUGCGAAGGCAGCUCACUGGGGCGCAACUGACGCUGAAGCUCGAAAGCGCGGGUAUCGAACAGGAUUAGAUACCCUGGUAGUCCGCGCGGUAAACGAUGGAUGCCCGCUGUUGGGCCAACUGGUUCAGCGGCCAAGCGAAAGCAUUAAGCAUCCCACCUGGGGAGUACGCCGGCAACGGUGCAACUCAAAUGAAUUGACGGA